rnacentral:snRNA from 1 species
GUCCAAUAAAAGAUGUAGACUAAAAUUGGAACAAUAGAAGAUUAGCAUGGCCCCUGAACAAGGAUGACACACACACUUGUGAAGUGUUUUCACCAUGU